rnacentral:rRNA from 1 species
CCCUGCUUCCAGGAAAAGCCUCUAAGCAUCAGGUAACAUCAAAUCGUACCCCAAACCGACACAGGUGGUCAGGUAGAGAAUACCAAGGCGCUUGAGAGAACUCGGGUGAAGGAACUAGGCAAAAUGGUGCCGUAACUUCGGGAGAAGGCACGCUGACACGUAGGUGAAGUGAUUUACUCAUGGAGCUGAAGUCAGUCGAAGAUACCAGCUGGCUGCAACUGUUUAUUAAAAACACAGCACUGUGCAAACACGAAAGUGGACGUAUACGGUGUGACGCCUGCCCGGUGCCGGAAGGUUAAUUGAUGGGGUCAGCGCAAGCGAAGCUCCUGAUCGAAGCCCCGGUAAACGGCGGCCGUAACUAUAACGGUCCUAAGGUAGCGAAAUUCCUUGUCGGGUAAGUUCCGACCUGCACGAAUGGCGUAAUGAUGGCCAGGCUGUCUCCACCCGAGACUCAGUGAAAUUGAACUCGCUGUGAAGAUGCAGUGUACCCGCGGCAAGACGGAAAGACCCCGUGAACCUUUACUAUAGCUUGACACUGAACAUUGAGCCUUGAUGUGUAGGAUAGGUGGGAGGCUUUGAAGUGUGGACGCCAGUCUGCAUGGAGCCGACCUUGAAAUACCACCCUUUAAUGUUUGAUGUUCUAACGUGGACCCGUUACCCGGGUUGCGGACAGUGUCUGGUGGGUAGUUUGACUGGGGCGGUCUCCUCCUAAAGAGUAACGGAGGAGCACGAAGGUUGGCUAAUCCUGGUCGGACAUCAGGAGGUUAGUGCAAUGGCAUAAGCCAGCUUGACUGCGAGCGUGACGGCGCGAGCAGGUGCGAAAGCAGGUCAUAGUGAUCCGGUGGUUCUGAAUGGAAGGGCCAUCGCUCAACGGAUAAAAGGUACUCCGGGGAUAACAGGCUGAUACCGCCCAAGAGUUCAUAUCGACGGCGGUGUUUGGCACCUCGAUGUCGGCUCAUCACAUCCUGGGGCUGAAGUAGGUCCCAAGGGUAUGGCUGUUCGCCAUUUAAAGUGGUACGCGAGCUGGGUUUAGAACGUCGUGAGACAGUUCGGUCCCUAUCUGCCGUGGGCGCUGGAGAACUGAGGGGGGCUGCUCCUAGUACGAGAGGACCGGAGUGGACGCAUCACUGGUGUUCGGGUUGUCAUGCCAAUGGCACUGCCCGGUAGCUAAAUGCGGAAGAGAUAAGUGCUGAAAGCAUCUAAGCACGAAACUUGCCCCGAGAUGAGUUCUCCCUGAGACUUAGAGUCUCCUGAAGGAACGUUGAAGACGACGACGUUGAUAGGCCGGGUGUGUAAGCGCAGCGAUGCGUUGAGCUAACCGGUACUAAUGAACCGUGAGGCUUAACCUUACAACGCCGAAG